UAUAUAUUUAUUUAAUUUUUUCAGGCUAAAAACAAUGCAUGCUGCCCAAAUGACUUUGCUGUCCUUCAUGUCAACUUAAAACACAAGUUAUAACUGUAUUCUUCUGUCUGAAUGUCAUUUAAACUGAGAGUGCACUCCUGGCAUAUUUCCAUCACUCCUUGAACCCUGCGUACCUGAGAGGAUACUUCUGGUUCUCCCCCCAUCAGUGUCUCUGCAGAGCAGCAAGGUGGCGGUCUGGUUGAUGGACGGCUUUCCUGACCAUCUCAGUCACUGAUGCGCACCGCCUCACAGUGAGGCAUGAGGAGGGUCAUAUAUCUCCCUGUGCAGGGGAAUAAAGUUCUAUACAUAGGCAUGCUGCGUCACUGCACAGUCACAGCUGUGAAAACCAAUAUCACCCCUGUCAGCUGCCCCACUGGAACAGUCUGAAGGCAAGACAAAUCAGGAGAGGACAGGCAAGGACAUGUCAAACCCAGGGAGGAUGGGUGCUCAGUGGGCUGCCCAGGGAUGACAAACUUAACAUAUAGAAGUUUUGUGCAAAUUUCACCACAGUCUAUUUGAUUUUAAACACAGAGACGAUAUCAGCCAGAAGAUUCUCUUUUUUGUCCCCUCGAGUCUUCAAACUAACAGAGGCAGUUAUUAUUAGGUCCAGUGAUGAUGGCAUUGUGUUCCUUUUUGGGGAAUCAUAAUAUUUUUGGACCAUUUUCCCUCUGACUUUAAUCUCUUUGCUUCUCAAGAGCCAGCUCUCUUUUGUGUUUAAGAAAGCACAGACAUUAAAUGUGUCAUUUGAUAUACACUGAAAUUAUGAUUGCUGUCACAUGACCCUUACAUAAAUAGAGUUAGUAUUCAAAAGUACGUCUGAGAAAGGUCUUACAUGUAGAAAUGGUGAUAAGCAUGCACAGAUAGGUAGUCGACAAGUGCAAAAUCUACAAAGUCACAUGUUAUUAUUCAUUUUUUUCCCCCCACAUUGAGUGAAUUCAUCACAAGAACUGAAACCUCCCCCCCUCCGUUCCCAGUGUCGAGGACUUUGACUCACUACUACUGACUAUCCGAAACCCUGAGGACAGUUCUUCUUAAUGGGCUACGAUGCACAGAUUUGGGACCCGUAGCCUGUUUUUGACCAGCGUUGGCCCAAACAGAGCCUGACAUAGUAGGGCACACUCUCUUUGGGCAUGGAGCUGGCACCAGUCCUAUUUUAGAAUAGCCAGUGGGUAAGACAUAAACAUACAGCAGUCGAAGGUUGACCCUUAGUCUUUUCUUAGUUGAGGGUUUCUGUAAGACCAGGGGUCAUCAACGACUGUUGAUAGGCUCGGAGUUAGUUUUUUUUUUCAGGCCUCCCUGCUCUGUUUUUUUUUUGUUGUAUAUAUUAUAAUUAUCUUUGUUUACUGCAUGAAGUGCCAAAAGUUAUUCACAGCUAUUGUAUUUUUAUGUUUGUUUCCCCAUAACUGUUACAGCAAAGUGUGGAACACCGUCUUGAGUGAGAAUACUGUGCAGAAGGUUCAACCAAUGUAAAUCCCCAUAGAUGACAACUCAGAUCACUUCCUUGAACAUUAAUCAAACAAUAAAAACAAAAUAAAAGCAUAUCUAGUGUUGGCAAAAUAGAUCCAAAAUACUAGUUUAAAAAAAUAAAAGACACCAGCAAGAGAAAAAAUAAAAGCAUAAUGUAACAACAAGCAAAUGUAUGAACACAAAGCAAACCAGUUUAAAAAAAAAAAAAAUCCCCAGAUAGAAACAGUUUGCAGUAGUCAGUCAUAUGACACUGGUGUCUAAAAUCAGCCUACAGUUAAAAAAAAAAAAAAAAAAA